AACGAACGUUAGCGGCGCGCCUAACACAUGCAAGUCGUGCGAGAAAGGGCUUCGGCCCCGGUAAAGCGGCGCACGGGUGAGUAACACGUAGGUAAUCUGCCCUCUGGUGGUGGAUAACCUUCCGAAAGGAAGGCUAAUACAGCAUAAGACCACGGUUUCGCAAGAGACUGGGGUAAAAGCGGGCCUCUUCAUGAAAGCUCGCUCCGGGGGAUGAGCCUGCGGCCCAUCAGCUAGUUGGUAGGGUAAUGGCCUACCAAGGCGAAGACGGGUAGCUGGUCUGAGAGGAUGAUCAGCCACACUGGAACUGAGACACGGUCCAGACUCCUACGGGAGCAGCAGUGGGGAAUCUUGCGCAAUGGGCGAAAGCCUGACGCAGCGACGCCGCGUGA
rnacentral:rRNA from 1 species